rnacentral:tRNA from 1 species
GCCGGAGUGGUGAAAUUGGUAGACGCACGGGACUCAAAAUCCCGCGGGGGCAACCCCAUGAGAGUUCGAUUCUCUCCUCCGGCACCA